AGCCCCGUGGUGAACAGCACGUCAAAUUGCAAGUUUGAAGAAGUUCCUUUUUGGUUCCAGGGCUU
rnacentral:tRNA from 1 species